rnacentral:tRNA from 2 species
CCUUCGAUAGCUCAGUUGGUAGAGCGGUGGACUGUAGAUUUAUAAUUGUGAUCCCUAGGUCGCUGGUUCGAAUCCGGCUCGAAGGA